AACGUUGUUUUAGAGAAAUAAAUAUAUAGUUUUGUUUGCAUGGACCUCCUUUGAUGUUGCACAAUCAUAUAUCUUCUUUAACCACAAAUGUUUCCAGAUGAAAUACAGAGAAAUGUUCUUUGCGAAUUAAUGGGCAAGGCUUUGGCAACUUUGCAUUCAUGGGCGGCUCCCGUUCUGUAAUGUGGGCUGGCCAAGGUUGUUUCCUGGAUGGACGUUAUAUAAGGCCUGACUCACCCUCAGCUGUAGUCAGACUCUACACAGCCAGAUCAGACCAAGGAUAGCAAACCCAGGAUUGUAGACCCAGGACUAACCCAGGACAGCAGUUUCCUCUAGUAUCUGACCCAUAAGACACCUCACCUGUCUGCAAUAUGAAGAACCUGGUUCUGGGACUCUGCACACUGGCCCUGCUGGCCUCCACCAUGGCACAGAGUUCUACAACACCAACAACUGAGCAACAUAAUUCUACAAUAGGAUCAACAAAUGACCAAAAGAAUUCUACAAUACGACCAACAACUGACCAAAAGAAUUCUACAAUACGACCAACAACUGACCAACAUAAUUCUACAAUAGGACAAACAACUGACCUAAAGAAUUCUACAAUACGACCAACAACUGCCGAACCAAAAGCCACAAUGUCAACCACUCUCACCACACCAGCAGGGGGAAGCCAUGUCUUCAGUUACUCCCUGACUCUACUGUUUGGUUCGACAGCCACCCUGAUCCUGCGUUCACGAUGGCAAUGAUCGCCACCUCGACGACAAGAGUCACAUCCUGAGAGCGUGUUGGAAACUGAAUGAAGAGCACUGGAGAAUGAUCUGUACAGCUUUCUCUUUUCUCUGACAAUGUGUUUUUACAAUGCCCUUGAGGUUUGUGUGUCUUCUGUGUAUUUCAAGAUGCAUAAUUAACAUACUCUGGUUGAUAAGGUAUAUUGCAAUGCCUAAAAUAUAUGAAUGUUUUAUAAUCAUUCAAGCUGUGAGUUCCUUUGAACAAAAUAGCUAACUAUACAAAUUGUGAAUGAUUUAUUUUCUCAUAGUACAAAUGUUGAUCAGUACCCAAAUAAAAUGUUUUUUUCUUUUCGUA